ACCACUCGGCAUUCAGAUUUUUGGACAGUUUCUGGUUUAUUAUGGAAUUAUUGUGUAUUAUAGUCAAAAAUGUGUCUUUAAAUAAGAAGCUGGAGAUGUGCGGAAAAGAUGAAAGCGUCACAAAAAACAGUUUAAAUUAGGAAAAUGACAAAGUUGAUUUGUUUUUUUUUAAAGCUACGUACUACAAAGGAUUAAAUUAAAAUGAUAAUAUAAUUUUAAAAGGAAAUGUGUUUUUGCUUCAUAAAUAUUUGACCACCACUAAGGAGUUGAGCUCCCAAAUAGCAGACAGGGUCCUGGAUGAACACUGAAGUCAGGCAGGUGAUCCUUGACUGACAUGCAGGCUGUGGAGUUAAACAGCUUUCAGAAUGGAGUGAAACAACUUUUUUACCUUUUUUUAAAAAAGGAAAAUGGCUGGGAGGCAAAGUCAAAGUGUAGAUGGCUGAGCAGCUGCAGCAGCGGUGAGCCGCCAGUAACUAAAGCUAACUGGGAGAGACCACAGGCUAAUGAGAUGCAUUCACUGAGGUUCAACCACAGCAGCCUGCACUUUUCCAAGCUCAAAGAGUUUGCAGCCUCUCCUGAGAUCAGACGGGCAUGAGCACUGCUGCUGGCUGGGGAACAGAUUGAGCCUCGUGAAUUCUACAUGAGUGUCCAGAAAAGAGCUGCUGUUGCCAUUGGCUGCUCAUCUGUCAAACCCUGGACUCCUCAGGAAAGGAUUGUACCAGUUUAAAACGGCAGACACUGACACAUGGCUGGUGCUAUCAGAUCAGCAGGAAAAAAAAAAAAAAA